UUUUUCAUAAAAAAUUUACGAUGUCCAUAAUACAAAGUUAAAUAAUUUUAGUUAAAUUUUUUUUGUUGUCAUCCUCAAAUAAUUGUGCAUUUAUACUAUAUGAUUAAUAGUAAAUUUACGUUCUUUCAAAAUCCUAGAUCCACCACUAUUUGUGUGGAACCUUCAAAACCUGUUGAACCAAUUCCCAAAUAUGAACGAAAUCGCUCUAAUGCCAUUCUUCACACCCCAAGAGACAGUCAAUGCAAAUCCAUUGUUCUUUCCAUGGAAUCCAAUUCCGGUCCAGUGGGGUCAAUUUGUGAACCUCCAUGCACCAGUACCUCUAGGACUAGGCGAAAUCGGAGCACUUCCGGAGAGGACGAGUUCCUUCACCAAGAUUUCAAAUGCUUCUCUCAUGAUCUUUCCAGAAGACGAGGACAAGAAGUAUAUUUAUCUCUGUCCGGUAACACUUCUCUCAAAAGUUCCUUCGACCUUUGGCCUGCAAUAAACAGUGCACUGGUGAAGUUUGCAGUUGUAAUGACACCGACACUGCAUUGAAUCCAACUUCCUUCCAGUGAUAGCUCUCAGCCCUCCCUCAACUUUUUCUCGCCAAUGAAUCAAGCAACUUGUUUUAUAGUUCGGAACACCCGAGGAGUCAACAACGAUAACUUUAGGAGGAACUUUUGUGAUCUGCUCAACUCCCAUAAUCCUUGUUUUGUUGCUCUACUAGAAACUAAACUCUGUGACCACUUAGGCCUCAUGAAUGAGUUUGGGUUCGAUGAUUAUUGGGAAGUCCCGGCUGUGGGUAGGUCCGGCGGUAUUGUCCUGCUUUGGCACACAUCCUUUGUUAGUAUUACUCGUAAGUAUCAAACCUCUCAGGAGCUUCACGCAAUGAUUAAGAGAUUCAUGACAGACUAAUAAUGGCUCAGAGAUGUGACUUGCAAGUCAAUGGUAUGACGAUACCAUAUGUAUUUAUGCCAUGACAGAUUAUGUUUUCAGAGUAUGUUUUCAGAGACUGCAUGAUUUGAUAGAGUUUUGAAAAGGGGCUUAAAGAAGGUUAAGUGGUUACCAGAAGAAGGCGCAAGUUUAAGCAACUCUUAGCCUGAAACUGUAUUUCUCGAUGCGGGUAAAUUAUUAUUGUACGCUGGCGACGGCCGUGUGGUGUAGUAAAUUCAGAGACUCCGACCCUUGAGGCAUACUUGGAUUGGGGGCUUUGCUGCAGAGUUAAUGGUUGUUUCUAUACAGCCCAUGGAAUUUUCAAAAUUGUAGGGUAUAUCUCCUAAUGCAGAAGUAUUAAUAGAUUUCUCAGAGUCAUGAUGAUUUUCACAGAGUCUUUUAAAAUGCCUAUGUGAUUUCUUAACAUGUUAUA